rnacentral:misc_RNA from 1 species
GGAAAACAGCUAAAGAAGGGGACAGAGACACAGAAAAAAAAUGUAUGAAACAGAACAGACAACACAGCAAGCUCAGAAACCCACCCAACUCUGACAUAAGAACAAAAUUCAGAUAUGUUACAACAACAACUUUUUUUUUCCCCUUCUACAAAACUCUCAAAUAGUUCACCACAACCAUAAAGAUGAAUUCAAAAAGCAUUUCUUAUCACCGAAAACUAUCAAUUGAGAAAUUAAAUGAUGAUCGCUUCAAUAAUAAAACCA